AGACACAGGGCUCACCUGCAAACACAGCCACGUAGCAAUGAGACUGCUUUCCCUGGCUCUAGAGAUGGUUUCUGAAGAGACUACGUGGGCAACACUGUUGUAUGGAGUGCCUGAGGUGAAGCCUGUGAAGUGCUGGAGGGACCAGCUGGUGGAGGAAUUCAGUGGUCAUUUGCUGGCUUCUGUGGACCGUUAGCGGGGAAACCAGCCUACCUGAAGAAGGAGAGCGGAGGAAGGAGCUGAGGCAGAGCUUGGUGUCUCUGAGCCUUGGUUUUCCCGGAAGUCCCGCCCCCUCACAGAGAGACACUGUAAAGGCAUGGAGAGCUUCGUGGAGUUGGAAAAGGUCUCUCCAGACGACUGACUCAGGGUCUCCCUGGCUGUGACUGCGAUCCCUCAUACCUCCCUUCCUGGUGGAGUCUGGAAUGUUCUGCUGACUGAGAGGACGUGGCAAGAAGAAAACUGUUCUGCAGAUUGAUCUGACCUCUGGCUCUCUCUGGGCCAUUUCACUCAUCUCCCUGUGACCGACCUUCUGAGCUCCAGCUGAGGAGAGCCAGUACCAUGUUAGCUCUCGUGCUUUCUGUCGCUCCCUGGCUCAAGAACUCUUGUCUGAAUUGGAUUGUUUUCUUCUCAGCUCUGGAACGCUUCUCUCCUUUGGGCUUUCUUGACUGGGAGAGGGAAGCCCUAGUUCCUGAGAAAACACCGGGGACUUUUUACCUCUGGUUUUUCUCCUUUCUCUGAGAAUGGGUCCUGUCACAGAAUAUAUCGUCCACAAAGUCGGAUGGCGAGCGACACCCAGUGAGGAAAUGCCUAUCCGUGCAUCGUGGAAACUGAGAAGAGAAAAGGCAAAAGCUGAGGGAAGUCUCUGUAAACACAUGCACAGUGAGUUCCAGGAAAUGCUUUAUUGCUUUUGUUUUGUUUGAUAGCUUUCAUCCUAACACACUAGUUCUCCACACCAGUUUUCCAGACACAUGGAUCACACAAGGAAGCUAGGAUUCAUCGCUAAGCCAAAAAAGCCAAAAACGGGACAUGGUGCUAUUGUCCUCUGAGUGAGAAAGAGGCCACAGUGUGAGAGAGUAGAACUGACAUUCUUUUUAAUAGUUUCAACAUCUUGCUGAGUGACUAAUAUUUUCACUGGUCCCUGCCACCUGUUCAUUGCAAACUUUUGGAUAAAGGUACUCUAAAAAUUUCCAUACCUCGAACAUAAAGCAUCUUUCCACUAUAAAACUUUCCUAGCUUUCUACCUUCAUGUAGUCAGUGUCAAAAUUUUCCAGAUUUUAAUCUCUUUUGCCAUCUGUAAAUAAUUCCUGUGGGGUAUACUUUGAAUUGCUUUUAUUUUUUUUCUGAUGGCUUUUCCCUUAA